rfam:Mus musculus chromosome 14, GRC primary reference assembly.
UGUGUGCCUGCGUGGCCCCUGUGCGGCAGUGGAGGUGGUCAGCUUUCGGACACUACUCCGGUGACACACUAGUGAUGAAACAAAUCAGGGACUAUCUUAAGAGUUUCGUAAAAACAAGACAAAAACCGCUUUUAACUAAACUCCAAGCCACCGAGUGCGCCUUCGAGCCCUGGGUGGCCGCUCAGGAACUUAAAACCGCGUAUCGCU